rfam:Hordeum vulgare subsp. vulgare, WGS project CAJW01000000 data, contig: morex_contig_1549970
GCCGCCAUGGUGAAAUUGGUAGACACGCUGCUCUUAGGAAGCAGUGCUCAAGCAUCUCGGUUCGAAUCCGAGUGGCGGCA